CAGUAACGAAUCUUCCCCAAUGCACGCAAGUGUGAGGGAGCGACGCCGCGUGUGGGACGAAGUCCUUCGGGAUGUAAACCACUGUCAGGGGUUACCAAGUUCUGAGGAGCCCCAGAGGAAGAGGCGGCUAACUCUGUGCCAGCAGCCGCGGUAAGACAGAGGCCUCAAGCGUUAGGCGGAAUCACUGGGCUUAAAGCGUGUGUAGGCGGAUCGUUAAGUGUCUUGUGAAAUCCCACGGCUCACCCGUGGAACUGCUGGGCAUACUGGCGAUCUUGGGCCAACUAGGGGCAACUGGAACAAGCGGUGGAGCGGUGAAAUGCGUAGAUAUCGCUUGGAACGCCGAAGGUGAAAACAGGUUGCUGGGGUUGUGCCGACGCUGAGACACGAAAGCCAGGGGAGCAAACGGGAUUAGA
rnacentral:rRNA from 1 species